rnacentral:rRNA from 1 species
CCUACGGGCGGCUGCAGUGGGGAAUAUUGGACAAUGGGCGAAAGCCUGAUCCAGCCAUGCCGCGUGUGUGAAGAAGGCCUUCGGGUUGUAAAGCACUUUCAGUGGGGAAGAAAGCCUUGGGGCUAAUACCCUCGAGGAAGGACAUCACCCACAGAAGAAGCACCGGCUAACUCCGUGCCAGCAGCCGCGGUAAUACGGAGGGUGCGAGCGGUAAUCGGAAUUACUGGGCGUAAAGCGCGCGUAGGCGGUCUGAUAAGCCGGUUGUGAAAGCCCCGGGCUCAACCUGGGAACGGCAUCCGGAACUGUCAGGCUAGAGUGCAGGAGAGGAAGGUAGAAUUCCCGGUGUAGCGGUGAAAUGCGUAGAGAUCGGGAGGAAUACCAGUGGCGAAGGCGGCCUUCUGGACUGACACUGACGCUGAGGUGCGAAAGCGUGGGUAGCAAACAGGAUUAGAUACCCCAGUAGUC